rnacentral:lncRNA from 1 species
CAAAGGCCCCACCUCCUAAACCGUCACCUUGGUGUUGGUUUCAACACACGAAUUUUAGGGGGACACAGGAUUCAGCCCAUAGUAUUUGGGCAGGAGAUGACAUCACUGUGGGUUGGGGUGACAUGGGACAGAGAGAAGGAGACGGUCACAGGAGGUGAGCUGUGCAUGAGUUCAAGAGGUCAGGAGGUCAGAAGAUUGGAACAAGAGGUGACCAUGGGACUGUCACUCCCACGGAGUUUGCAGAAAUCUUGGGUAGGAAGGAAGAAAAUGAUUUUGACGUGUGAAAUGCAGAGUCAAAUAGAUUUCCCAGAAGAAUUUCAACUGUGGAAUGAAGGGCCUGUGGGAGUUAUGAUGAAGCGUCAAGCCUGGAGGGGAGAGAAGAGGGGAGGAAUGGUGUCAAAGAGUGAUUGAUAACAGAAGUGUCCAGAUGUUUUUAUUAUUUACAUUUUACUCCCAGUGCUGUAUGUGUAAAUACUAGCAAGGUUAGUAACAGGAGUUACAAAAGAUGCUUAACCUCUAUCAGGUUAUGUGACUCAUCCAUGGCUACCCCGGCCUGGACUCCCCUCCGAGACUGGGGCCUGCAUACCCUACUGCCCACUUCACAUUUCCUCUGAGAUACACAGAGCAGCUCAAUUUCCACACUUCAAAACCACACUUGGGGUUUCCCAUGGAA